UACGGGGGGGGCAAGCGUUGUUCGGAAUUACUGGGCGUAAAGGGCUCGUAGGCGGCCAACUAAGUCCGACGUGAAAUCCCAAGGCUUAACCUUGGAACUGCGUCGGAUACUGGAUGGCUUGAAUUCGGGAGAGGGAUGCAGAAUUCCAGGUGUAGCGGUGAAAUGCGUAGAUAUCUGGAGGAACACCUGUGGCGAAGGCGGCGACCUGGGUUGACAUUGACGCUGAGGCGCGAAAGCGUGGGGAGCAAACAGG
rnacentral:rRNA from 1 species